rnacentral:sRNA from 1 species
ACACCCGUAUUAUUUGUCUGUUAUGGGUUUCGACCGAGCUUAGCGUUGUUCAUUUUUUUACACAAUAGGGCUGUAAAAAAUUGAACACGCCCCACUGAGCACCGCAUCCAGUGAGGCCAGGAGAGCGAUCAGAAUGCCUCACAACGCCCAAAAACUGGCCAUCGAGCCCGGUUUUGGGGCAA